AUUGAACGCUGGCGGCAGGCUUAACACAUGCAAGUCGAGCGGGGUGAUGGUGCUUGCACUAUCACUUAGCGGCGGACGGGUGAGUAAUGCUUAGGAAUCUGCCUAUUAGUGGGGGACAACAUCUCGAAAGGGAUGCUAAUACCGCAUACGUCCUACGGGAGAAAGCAGGGGAUCACUUGUGACCUUGCGCUAAUAGAUGAGCCUAAGUCGGAUUAGCUAGUUGGUGGGGUAAAGGCCUACCAAGGCGACGAUCUGUAGCGGGUCUGAGAGGCUGAUCCGCCACACUGGGACUGAGACACGGCCCAGACUCCUACGGGAGGCAGCAGUGGGGUAUAUUGGACAAUGGGGGGAACCUUGAUCCAGCCAUGCCGCGUGUGUGAAGAAGGCCUUAUGGUUGUAAAGCACUUUAAGCGAGGAGGAGGCUCUUUUGGUUAAUACCCAAGAUGAGUGGACGUUACUCGCAGAAUAAGCACCGGCUAACUCUGUGCCAGCAGCCGCGGUAA
rnacentral:rRNA from 1 species